GGUUUCAGCAGCGGGAAAACCAAAAACGAAACCUAUCUCACCGCAGAGUCUCCUCACCGCAGUACCAGACUCCGGCCGAACCGCACCUCUGCCCCCUUCCUCCCGGAGGCUCAGGGCCUGUGGCGCACGUCUAUGGAGCGGAUCCACGUAGCGGUGCGCUCGCGGCCGCUCUCCCCGGAGGACUCGCGGAGCAGCCCGUGGAAGAUCUCGGGCAACGCAAUCGCUCACUCCGCGCAGUCCUCCUCCCGCUUCGAGUUCGACAGGAUAUUCGGCGAGGAGUGCCGCACUGCCGAGGUCUACCAGGCCCGCAUCAAGCACAUCGUCGAUAACGUGGUCCGAGGGUUCAAUGGCACUGUUUUUGCAUAUGGUCAAACUAACAGUGGGAAGACCUUCACAAUGAGAGGAUCGGCUAAUGAACCUGGAAUAAUACCGCUUGCAGUUCAUGACUUAUUCCAGCGUAUUCAAGAGCAUAUGGACAGAGAGUUUCUUGUGCGGAUGUCCUACAUGGAAAUUUACAAUGAAGAUAUUAAUGACCUUCUUGUGCCUGAACAUCGAAAAUUGCAGAUUCAUGAGAGUAUUGAGAAAGGGAUCUUUGUUGCUGGUUUAAGGGAAGAAAUUGUUACAUGCGCGGAACAGGUCAUGGAUUUCAUGUCUUUUGGAGAAUCCCACCGGCAUAUCGGAGAGACAAACAUGAAUCUUUAUAGCAGUCGUUCUCACACUAUAUUUCGCAUGGUAAUCGAGAGUAGAGAAAAAGGCGAUGACAAUGAAGUUGAAGAUUUUUGUGAUGCUGUACGAGUAUCUGUUUUGAACCUUGUUGACUUAGCUGGCUCAGAACGCGCUGCAAAGACUGGUGCAGAGGGUGUGAGACUUAAGGAGGGUUCUCAUAUUAACAAAAGUCUCAUGACUCUUGGUACGGUCAUAAAGAAACUUAGUGAAGGCAUUGAGAGUCAAGGGGGACAUGUGCCAUACCGUGAUAGUAAACUGACAAGGAUACUGCAGCCUGCUCUGGGUGGAAAUUCUAACACAGCUAUCAUCUGCAAUAUAACACUUGCACAGAUCCACACUGAUGAGACAAAAAGCAGUUUGCAAUUUGCGAGUAGAGCAUUACGUGUAACAAACUGUGCAUGCGUUAAUGAGAUUUUGACAGAUGCUGCAUUAUUAAAACGCCAAAGGAAAGAAAUAGAAGAGCUUCGAGCAAAACUUAGAAAAUCUGAAAGUGAUCAUUGGGAGGAAGAAAUUCUGAAUCUGCGAAACACACUACUGCAGAGUGAAUUGGAAAAGGAAAGAAUCUCUUUAGAGCUGGAGGAGGAAAAGAAAGCUAAAGAGCAGCGUGACAGAUGCUUGAUUGAACAGGCAAAGAAAAUUGAAAAUCUUAGUUCACUGGUUUUAAAUUCAGACAGAGAUGACAGGAGUACUGCUUUUAGUAAGAACAAAAGAAGGGUAACAUGGUGUCCUGGACCAAAUGCAAAGCAAUUUGAUAUUGAGGAUUUAAGACCUGUCCAGGAAGGCUCUACAAGCAGCACAGUUAGAAAUGAACGGGAUAUGGGAAUGCCACCACUUUUUGAAGAGUUAAUGCAAGAAAGUAAUGAUGAGCCUUGUGCUAACGUUUACUCAUCUGGACCUGGUAAUGUGUCCAAAGACAGUGAAGACGUCCCUCUUCCUGACUCGCAUGCUUUGCUGCAUGUUACCAACAGAAGAAAGCCAAAGGCAAUGAAGAAAUCAGAUCAAGAGCAAUUCAGGGGGAGAGCUGGUGAACUAUUAAUACCCCAGGACCCCUGUGAUGGGAAUGAUGCUCUACGCCACAAAAACACUGUGCCUUGUGUAGUUAGUAGCUUAUCUUCUCGAGAAUCUGAAGCCAUUCUUGUCAUCAAACAACUUCAAGAUCAGAUCAAGCUGCUGGAGGCAGAGAAGAGUUCUGUUCAAACUAAUUUGGAUGCUGUUCUUGUGCUGGCAACUCAACAGAAGGUUUCAUUUAAUGAGGAGUAUGAAGAGCUUCAGCAGAUCACUCUAGCUGCAGAAGAACAAGCAAAGGUUGCUAAUGAGAACCUGUCCACACUAUCUGCUACUGUAAAAUCCAAACAGGAACUAGCAUAUGAAUUCCUCGGUAAUUUAUUGAUGGAGACUCAAGGAAUAAAUGUGGAGAUGGAUCAGUGGAGAAACUCGGUUGACAGUGCUCUUUCUUUUAUUGAUGAACUCUUUCAGAAUCUCUGCAUCAUGGCACAAGGCAUUCGUGAAGUAAAUCACUCUGCUCAUGAAGAUAGUGCACGGUCCUGUUCUGUGAUCAGGGACUAUGAAAAACUAUCAACCUGUUUGAUGGACAAAGUUUACAAACUUGAAUUGGAGAAGAAACUAUUGGAGGAACAGUCCCAAGACCAACAAAAUGAGAUUUAUAAGCUGAAGGCCAAUCUGGAAAGCUGUGAGAAGGCCAUAGAUGACUGUACUCUUCAACAUGAAUUGGAGAAGGAUGCCAUUCUUUUAGAGCUCCUAAACCUCCAGAAGGAAGUAUCUAUCUUGUCAUCAUCUUCUUUGAUGAAAGAAAAGGAAUCUAUCCGAAAGGAACUUGAUAGAACUAAAUCAAAGUUAAGAGAGACGGAGGACAAACUUAAGAAUUCCAUUCAGGAGAAAACAAAACUUCAGAGUGAGAAAGCAGAGGCCCACAAAGAAAUUAAGAAAUUGCAAAGCCAGAGAACUUUGCUUGAACGUGAUUUACGGAAACGUGAUUCAGCUACUGUUGACAAAAGGCAUGAACUGAAUUCCAUGCCACAGGAAAGUUCUGGUGCUUUUGGUCACAUGCAGGAGAACUACCAAAAUCUUGAGAUGCAUGCUUUUGAUAUGGAUGCUGAAAUUUAUUCUUUACAAGAAGCUCUUGUCACUUCAAUUGAUGAAAAGGAUGAAGCGUUGUCUAAAGUAGGGCUUAUAACAUCUGAACUAGAAGAUCUUGCGAAUAAACUGAACUUAGCAGAAUCAGAAAGGAACUCCUUUAGCAACGAGAUCACACUCUUGACUGAAAAGUUAAUUGCAUCUGAAUCUUCCCUUAAAAGUUUGGAGACUUCUCUCAAUUCUGUAUCAAGGGAAAAGGAAGAUUUGGGAAUGCAACUUACUGAUGCCCUUUUGGACAUGGAAUCUGAAAGAUCAAUUUGGACAGCAAAGGAGAAAGAAUAUGUAGAAGCUAAUCAUAGAUUGAACAUCUGCCUUGAUGAGAACCACAAACUUUCAGAAGAUUUGAUGAAGGUGAUGCAAGAGCUAGGGUGUUGUAGAGAACAAUGCAAAACAAUGGAGGAUAAACUGGUGCUUUCCAUGAAGAGUGACAUGAAUGAGAAAGUAACGGAAUGCAGCGAGGCUUGUAAAGCAUCCGACCAAAUUGUGGAGAAUGGAGGAACCAUUCCUGGUGCUGCGUGUGAAAAUAUUUCUAUUGACUCUAGUUCGAACAGGAGCUCGACAAACAACUAUUGUUGAUUACUGAAGAGCGCAAUUGUUUACUCUCUGAGACACAACAGAUGAGAUCCAUGGUCGCUGAAGCAGAGGUUUUGAAAGAGAAUUGUAACAGAAAGUUAAUACAUGCCAAAGAUACAAUAGAUGAGUUGAGCUCUAGGAUAUCUGUCAUGGAAGCCAAUCUGAAAAAUGAUACUGCGUCUAAUAACAAAGAGAAGACAAAGCUUCGCAUGGAGAUUCGAUGGCUGCGUCCACAACUUGACGCCCAUCGUGGUCGGCUCAAAGAAGCGAUGAAUGAGAUGAAGACCAUGGAUGCCAAAUACCAAGAAGCAUGCACCACGCUGAAGAAGGACCUUUCUCAGCAUGGUCGCGAGAUCCUGAGGUUGAGAGAGAUGCUUAAAGAAUCACAGAGCGCAUCAAACUGAGGCUAUAAGUUUCUCAUAUCUAAUAGCUCACGUAGCAAAAUGCAGAUAUGUCGUCAGCCCUAUGGAAGCACUCGUUGUUGCGUUUGUUCGCUUCGGACCUUCCUGGUACCGUGGUUCACUGACUUUCUUUGAGGUGUGGUGCGAUUCCAUGCGUCAGCUACUUCUAAUCCAAUGCGCUUGCGCUACCGUAAAGAAUCCUGAUGUAUGGGGGCAUUUUGCUGUUCAAACUGUACCUUUUCUUUCUAUUUAGUCUAUAGUGUAACAACUACGAUAAGUAGCAGGAAGAUUGAGCGAAGCUUGAGUUAUCUAUGAAACGAUGAAAAUGUCUAACGCACUGAAUUAGUCUUCUUUAA